rnacentral:rRNA from 1 species
AUGCAUAUUCGGCCGACUUCCUCUCGGGUCCUUUCGGCCUUCUCUGAUGCAGAUUGGGCUGGUAGCCCAGAUGACAGGCGAUCCACGGGGGGUUAUGCAGUAUUCUUUGGCUCUAAUUUGAUCGCCUGGAGUGCUCAGAAACAGGCUACUGUGUCACGUAGCAGUACUGAAGCUGAGUACAAGGCUGUGGCUAAUGCUACUGCAGAGAUUAUUUGGGUGCAGUCUUUGCUUCAGGAGUUGGGUUUGUCUCAACCACAGCCUCCUAUUCUUUGGUGUGAUAACAUCGGUGCUACAUACCUUUCUGCAAAUCCAGUAUUUCAUGCCCGAAUGAAACACAUUGAAGUUGACUAUCACUUUGUACGGGAACGUGUAUCACAGAAGCAACUCCAGAUCAAGUUUAUCUCAUCUAAGAAUCAACUUGCAGACAUCUUCACUAAGCCUUUACCGCUGCCACAGUUUGAGGCUUGUAGGCGCAAUCUUACCCUUCUCAGUUCUUUAGAAAGUGGCUAA